CAGAGUUGAUGUUAGCAUCAUAUUGAAGUAUUUUUGUCCUGCGUCCCUAGAGCAGAAAUGCCACUGGAUCGCAUUAUGGCAUUUCAGUUAAUCUAAAUGAGGAAUAUUGACUCAGUAUACAAGUAGAUUGGGUUACGAGCUAGGUCAUGGAACAGAUUAAACUCAUAAGCAGAGGUUCCACUGUACAAUCAUUAACUUAUCUGACCCUGACUUUCUGAAUAGUCCAUAUUAUCAGGUAGCCAAUUACCUCAGAUCCCUUCGGAUUUGGAUAAUAGAUGGAAUAGCUGUACUGUAUAUUUAAAAUUUUAAUAAGUGUAUGAGAAAUAAUUUUUUCCAUCUCUCUUACAGAAAAGUCAUCCAGAGAUUCGACAUUGUGAUUUAGAAAUUUUGUAGAGGACAGAAAAGGCCUGUGAUCAGCUUUAAUUACCAGUGGGUACAUCCGGCAGAUCUACGGCUUUACGUUCAGGGUCCAAACCGUAGAUCUACACCAUGAGCUCAGCUCACUCUGAUAAACUGUGAGUGGUACAUUUGGGCCUAGAUAUGAGAGAAUACAUCUAUGUGGUAUGUGUGCACCACAUAAAACAAAUCCUGCAGCACACUGUGUAUAACGAAAGAAAAAAAACUGAGACCAUGAUUUUCGAUUAAAACAGUGACUUUGCAGUGUUUUUCGUAUGUUUUUUAUAGUUGUAUUUGCAAUUUCUUGGUCUCAUAUGAUAGAAUGGAAGACAUAUUACAGAAAUAGAGAUGAUUUUGAUUGGUUUUAGCACUGGAAAUGGCUUGAAACUGAGUUCAAAGUAGCGGAAAUGUUAAAUUUUUGCCGAUGUUUAAGAGUAAACAAACGACCUCACACGUCUAAUACACGCCAGCUGGUGGGUCUAAUAUACAUUCACAAAUGUGGUGAUGAUAUUUAUACUAUUAUUACAAUAUUGCAUAACAGUAAAUCUUCUAUUUUUUGGUGUGAAUAAAAAUUCAUUAUGUGAAUAAAAAAUCAAAAUGGAAUUUAUUUGUAAAGCCUCAAAACAUAACUAAUGAACAGAGGAAAUGUUAGUUUAGUGCCAGGAAUACCUACAUUGUUUAUUCUGGACCCUAUAUUGAAAUUGGAAUAUUUUGAAGUUUGUGUUAAAUUGGCCAAAUUACCAAUUUCCGAUCACUUUAUUUUGUAGUUGAAACAGUUGACUUGGCGAUUUCUUGUGCUCAAUCGAUAGAAUAGAAGUAAUACUAGUGAAAUAGCUAAGAAUUUGUUUGACUGGAAUAAUGUAAUUGGCCUAAAAUGGGAGUCAAAUUCGGCAAAAUCGCCAAUUCAUAAAUAUCGCUGACACAUCGCGAGAGCAUAAUUUCAUCAAUUUUCCAUCAAAUUUCGUACUUUUUGUUUUAUUACCUUGAGAAAAAGAUUCUCUACCAUUUCAUAAUAAAAAAAUAAAAAAAUUAUUUUUUGAAAAUUCUUGGACACUGGUGCACACUUGAAAUUUGGCCUCUGGACCCUGAAAGAGUUAAAUAUACAUCGCAUAUAAACAUUGCAUGUUUUUAUAUACUAUGUAACGUGUUUCUUUGGGCCCAUGGUUGCUUAUUUUGCAAUUGCACUCAAUCAACCACAAAAACAAUGGAUUAUAGCAAAAUGUUUGGAUGAAUGAGCAGAAGCUUCCUCACUUGCCCAGAGGCAAAGCCAAACUGACUUGCAAGUGGCCCCAGCCAGAGGAUGGAUGUCUCCCAAAUGGCCGAUACCCGAACUAACGACCGAUAACCGGGCGCUGAAAAAACGGCCAAUAACCGAGUUGGCCAAUAACUGAACCGGCCAAUAACUGGGGAUCCACUGUACACAAUAACAGCACAGACUUUGCUGUCAUUAUAUUGUUUACAAAACAUGUUUACACAAACCAACAAUAAAAAAUGUUUAUUAUUAUUUUUCUAUCAUAAUAUAUACACAGAGUCACUGGACAGUUCCUAUAACUACAAGAGGUUCUGAAAGCUUGUAGUUGUGUGGGGGUGGACUUGUAAAUAUGCUGAGUCACCGAUGUGUCUUGUGUCACAAUGAUGCAUCAUACCACCACUAACACUCACUGCCUUCCACAACACAUCCCUUCGUCCCCAAAAACCUACCUUCCUUCCUUUCCUUCCUUCCUUCCUUCCAUCCUCUCAUCUCUUCCUACCUACCUUCCCUCCUUCCUUCUUCCUUCCUCUCAUCUCUUCCCACCUACCUACCUUCCUGCCUUCCUUCCUUCUUCCUUCCUUUUUUUCUUCAUUCAAGUAAUUUUAUGGUCUGUGAGACCAAUAUAAGGUAUAUUGAAUGUAUAUUGACUCGUUGUAUACCUCACAAUAACUGCACAGUCAUUAUAGUUUACAAAACAUGUUUACACAAACCAACAAUAAAAAAAUGUUGUUUAUUACUAUUUUUCUAUCGCAUAUAUAUACAUAUAAAGUCACUGGACACUUCUCGGAACUGCUACAGCUUCUGUAAAGCUCGUAGUUGUUGUGUGGGGGUGGACUUGUAAAUAUGCUGAGUCACUGGCCUAAUUAGUGUCACAAUAACAAAUAACGCCAUCACUCACCACCCUCGCUGCCUGUCAACUUCCUCUUCGCCCCACCAACCCACAUGGAAAUAAGUCACUGUCAGAAUUUUUUGGGUUAUCCUAGGUUAAUGGUCUCCUUCCUUCCUUCCCUCCUUCCUCUCAUCUCUUUCUUCCUUCCUUCCCCCUCCCUUUCUUCCUACCUUCCUUCCUUCAGGUUUCUUGGGCAUUGCUUUUGGUCACAAACCCCUCAAAACCAUGAAAUUCAUCUUCACUGACACUUCCAUCUGUGUUUGAACUGUCAUUUGGGAACAAAAGAGCCCCAACUAGCCGAGGAGUGAAGAGGUUCAUAGCGCUAGACAUGGUGAACAAGGUGUAAUAAAAUGGCUUUCCCACAAUGCACCACUGGGUCCCCGAUUUUUUUUGUACCGCACACACUGACGAUGGAGACCCAUUCUCUCACAUCUAGGACUACCAGCCUUUUCCUGCUUGAUUUGAGGACACUAGAAUUUAUGAUGAAAGAAAACUCAGAUGAGUGUGUAUACAUGUGUGUACAUGCAUGUGUAGUGUGACCUAAGUGUAAGUAGAAGUAGCAAGACUUACCUAAAAUCUUGCAUGUUUAAGAGACAGAAUUUAUAAUCUGAAAAAUUUCUUAAUCUGUUAACCUGAAUAGGCUUAGUUUUUAAAAACUUUGUCACCUCAACAUUAUAUUGCAAGACUGAUAUAUUAUAAACUUCAAAUAGCUCUUGUCAGAGGCCUCAAUUUUUGCUGGAUAUAUGUACAGUAUUCACAACUUGAUAAAAGUCAUUCAUGUUUGUUAUGCUUUUAUUUAUCAUUAACUUGAAUUUACCCGGUAAUUACUCUUUUUUUUUCACAGAUGUGCUGUACUUAAACAAUAAUAGACACUUUCUUAAAUUUAUGUGGACAUUAUAAAAAUAUUAAACAGAAAGAGAUAACUGGGUAUUUUUGUAUAAAUAAUUAUGAUUUUGUGAGGCAGAAAAAUCAAUAUGAUAAUACAGUGUUUUUUUUUUUUUUUGUAUUAUGUAUUUAUUGAGUAUUAUCAUAACUGAAUGCUCUUAUUUGCUUAUCUAAUGAAUUGGGUGAAUUAUUUUGGUCAGACUGGAUUAGUGAAACUGAUCUACCUGGAGUUUAUCUGGAGAGGGUUUCGGGGGUCAACGCCCCCGCGGCCCAGUCUGAGACCAGGCCUGAAGGUUUGCAGUAUAUCUACAGGGUACUAUACAUGAGACAAUACAUACUUUAUUUAUGCACUAUACAAUAAUUGGUGUUAAUGCUAGUGGUGUAAUAUAUGAAUUUAUAAUUUUCUAGCGAUACAGAUUUAUUAAAUAUUUUCAUGCAGCUUCAUUAAUUUUUAAUAUUUAUUUUGCAUCUUGAUUGUCAUCUAAAUGUCUCUAGUCAAAUAAAUUUGAGUUAAACCCUGA